rnacentral:tRNA from 1 species
CGGGGUGUAGCGCAGUGGGCCAGCGCACCGCGUUUGGGACGCGGGGGUCGGCGGUUCAAGUCCGCCCACCCCGACCU